UACACAUGCAGUCGAGCGGGGAGUUAGCUUGCUAUACUGACCUAGCGGCGGACGGGUGAGUAAUGCUUAGGAAUCUGCCUAUUAGUGGGGGACAACAUUCCGAAAGGAAUGCUAAUACCGCAUACGCCCUACGGGGGAAAGCAGGGGAUCUUCGGACCUUGCGCUAAUAGAUGAGCCUAAGUCAGAUUAGCUAGUUGGUGGGGUAAAGGCCUACCAAGGCGACGAUCUGUAGCGGGUCUGAGAGGAUGAUCCGCCACACUGGGACUGAGACACGGCCCAGACUCCUACGGGAGGCAGCAGUGGGGAAUAUUGGACAAUGGGGGNAACCCUGAUCCAGCCAUGCCGCGUGUGUGAAGAAGGCCUUUUGGUUGUAAAGCACUUUAAGCGAGGAGGAGGCUACUGGUAUUAAUACUACCGGAUAGUGGACGUUACUCGCAGAAUAAGCACCGGCUAACUCUGUGCCAGCAGCCGCGGUAAUACAGAGGGUGCGAGCGUUAAUCGGAUUUACUGGGCGUAAAGCGUGCGUA
rnacentral:rRNA from 1 species